rnacentral:tRNA from 1 species
GGGACCAUCGUAUAACCAGGCUAUUAUUGCCGGCUCCAGACCGGUAGAUUGGGGUUCAAAUCCCCAUGGUCCCA